GGCUCGUCGCAUCCUGGGGCUGGAGCAGGUCCCAAGGGUUCGGCUGUUCGCCGAUUAAAGCGGCACGCGAGCUGGGUUCAGAACGUCGUGAGACAGUUUGGUCUCUAUCCUCUGCGCUCGUUGGAAUCCUGAGGAGGCCUGCCCAUAGUACGAGAGGACCUGGGUGGACGGACCUCUGGUAUGCCGGUUGUCGCGCCAGCGGCAUGGCCGGUUGGCUACGUUCGGGAGGGAUAACCGCUGAAAGCAUCUAAGCGGGAAGCCUGCUCCAAGAUUAGGAUUCCUUGGCACUUCGGUGCCUGUAGCCCGCAUGUUGAACACGUGUUCGAUAGGCCGGAGGUGGAAGCCCCGCGAGGGGUGGAGCCGACCGGUACUAACGGGCGAACGCGGCA
rnacentral:rRNA from 1 species